rnacentral:rRNA from 1 species
UACAGAGGGUGCGAGCGUUGUCCGGAAUCACUGGGCGUAAAGGGCUCGUAGGCGGCCAACUAAGUCAGACGUGAAAUCCCCAGGCUCAACCUGGGAACUGCGUCUGAUACUGGAUGGCUUGAAUCCGGGAGAGGGAUGCAGAAUUCCAGGUGUAGCGGUGAAAUGCGUAGAUAUCUGGAGGAAUACCGGUGGCGAAGGCGGCAUCCUGGACCGGCAUUGACGCUGAGGAGCGAAAGCCAGGGGAGCAAACGGG